GACGAACGCUGGCGGCGUGCUUAACACAUGCAAGUCGUACGGUAAGGCCCUUUCGGGGGUACACGAGUGGCGAACGGGUGCGUAACACGUGAGUAACCUGCCCACAACUUUGGGAUAACGCUAGGAAACUGGUGCUAAUACUGGAUAUGUGCUCCUGCUGCAUGGUGGGGGUUGGAAAGCUCCGGCGGUUGUGGAUGGACUCGCGGCCUAUCAGCUUGUUGGGGGGGUAGGGGCCUACCAAGGCGGCGACGGGUAGCCGGCCGGAGGGGGUGACCGGCCACAUUGGGACUGAGAUACGGCCCAGACUCCUACGGGAGGCAGCAGUGGGGAAUAUUGCACAAUGGGCGCAAGCCUGAUGCAGCAACGCCGCGUGCGGGAUGACGGCCUUCGGGUUGUAAACCGCUUUCAGCAGGGACGAAGCUUUUUGUGACGGUACCUGCAGAAGAAGCACCGGCUAACUACGUG
rnacentral:rRNA from 1 species